rnacentral:tRNA from 1 species
AGAAGCUUAGGUUACGCCAUUUUAAACCAGAGGCCUUCAAAGCCCCAAACAAGACCAAACGUCUUAGCUUCUG